rnacentral:rRNA from 1 species
UACGUAGGCAGCGAGCGUUGUUCGGAGUUACUGGGCGUAAAGGGCUCGUAGGCGGCCAACUAAGUCGGAUGUGAAAUCCCCAGGCUUAACCUGGGAACUGCAUCCGAUACUGGAUGGCUUGAAUCCGGGAGAGGGAUGCGGAAUUCCAGGUGUAGCGGUGAAAUGCGUAGAUAUCUGGAGGAACACCGAUGGCGAAGGCAGCCCCCUGGGUCAAAACUGACGCUCAUGCACGAAAGCGUGGGGAGCAAACAGG